AGCUCCAAUAGCGUAUAUUAAAGUUGUUGCAGUUAAAAAGCUCGUAGUUGGAUUUCUGUGAGAGUGCCUGCCUCGGCUUUGAUGCUUGGUGGCAGCGCUCUUACAUCCUUCUGUUAACUGUUCUUGGCGUUCAUUUGCUGGUUCAGGGCUCAGAUAUUUUACCUUGAGAAAAUUAGAGUGUUUCAGGCAGGCUUAUGCCGGAAUACAUUAGCAUGGAAUAAUGGAAUAGGACCUGUGCGUCUCUCGGGGCGCCGGUCUCUGUUGUUGGUUUCGGGGACUAAAGUAAUGAUUAAUAGGGAUAGUUGGGGGCAUUAGUAUUUAAUAGUCAGAGGUGAAAUUCUCGGAUUUGUUAAAGACUAACUUAUGCGAAAGCAUUUGCCAAGGAUGUUUUCAUUAAUCA
rnacentral:rRNA from 1 species